rnacentral:rRNA from 1 species
AAUAUGGGAAAAGGGGGGUAACCCUGAUAUAGCCAUGCAGUGUGUGUGAAGAAGGUCUUCGGUAUGUAAAGCACUUUAAGUUGGGAGGAAGGGAGUUAGGUUAAUACCCUGAAGUUUUGACGAUACCAAUAGAAUAAGCAACGGCUAACCCUGUGCCAGCAGCCGCGGUAAUACAGAGGGUGCAAGCGCUAAACGGAAUUACUGGGCGUAAACCGCGCGUAGGUGGUUCAGUAAAAUGGAUGUGAAAUCCCCGGGCUUAACCUGGGAACUGCUUUCAUAACUGCUGAGCUAGAGUACGGUAGAGGGUAGUGGAAUUUCCUGUGUAGCGGUGAAAUGCGUAGAUAUAGGAAGGAACACCAGUGGCGAAGGCGACUACCUGGACUGAUACUGACACUGAGGUGCGAAAGCGUGGGGAGCAAAC